rnacentral:rRNA from 1 species
AGCAGCCGCGGUAAUUCCAGCUCCAAUAGCGUAUAUUAAAGUUGUUGCAGUUAAAAGCUCGUAGUUGAAUUUCGGGGUUAGUACGCUGGUCGUGCCUUCGGUAUGUACUGGUGUUACUGAUUCCUACCUUCUGAAGAACCGUCAUGUCAUUAAUUUGGUGUGGCGGGGAAUCAGGACUGUUACUUUGAAAAAAUUAGAGUGUUUAAAGCAGGCUCGCGCUUGAAUACAUUAGCAUGGAAUAAUGAAAUAGGACGUUUGAUCCUAUUUUGUUGGUUUCUAGGAUUGACGUAAUGAUUAAUAGGGAUAGUUGGGGGCAUUAGUAUUCAAUUGUCAGAGGUGAAAUUCUUGGAUUUUAUUGAAGACUAACUACUGCGAAAGCAUUUGCCAAGGAUGUUUUCAUUAAUCAAGAACGAAAGUUAGGGAUCGAAGACGAUCAGAUACCGUCGUAGU